AUUGAACGCUGGCGGCAGGCCUAACACAUGCAAGUCGAGCGGAUGAAGGGAGCUUGCUCCUGGAUUCAGCGGCGGACGGGUGAGUAAUGCCUAGGAAUCUGCCUGGUAGUGGGGGAUAACUUCCGGAAACGGGCGCUAAUACCGCAUACGUCCUGAGGGAGAAAGUGGGGGAUCUUCGGACCUCACGCUAUCAGAUGAGCCUAGGUCUGAUUAGCUAGUUGGUGGGGUAAAGGCCUACCAAGGCGACGAUCCGUAACUGGUCUGAGAGGAUGAUCAGUCACACUGGAACUGAGACACGGUCCAGACUCCUACGGGAGGCAGCAGUGGGGAAUAUUGGACAAUGGGCGAAAGCCUGAUCCAGCCAUGCCGCGUGUGUGAAGAAGGUCUUCGGAUUGUAAAGCACUUUAAGUUGGGAGGAAGGGCAGUAAGUUAAUACCUUGCUGUGUUGACGUUACCAACAGAAUAAGCACCGGCUAACUUCGUG
rnacentral:rRNA from 1 species